rnacentral:tRNA from 1 species
GAGGGAAUAGACCAGUUGGUAGAGCGCAACCUUGCAAGGUUGAGGUCGCGAGUUCGAGUCUCGUUUCCUGCUCCA